GACAGCAGCCGCCGCGGGAAUACAGAGGGUGCGAGCGUUAAUCGGAUUUACUGGGCGUAAAGCGUGCGUAGGCGGCUUCUUAAGUCGGAUGUGAAAUCCCUGAGCUUAACUUGGGAAUUGCAUUCGAUACUGGUUAGCUAGAGUGUGGGAGAGGAUGGUAGAAUUCCAGGUGUAGCGGUGAAAUGCGUAGAGAUCUGGAGGAAUACCGAUGGCGAAGGCAGCCAUCUGGCCUAACACUGACGCUGAGGUACGAAAGCAUGGGGAGCAAACAGGAUUAGAUACCCCGGUAGUCCCUGUCUCUUAUAC
rnacentral:rRNA from 1 species